UGGGGAAUAUUGCACAAUGGGGGGAAACCCUGAUGCAGCGACACCGCGUGAGCGAAGAAGUAUUUCGGUAUGUAAAGCUCUAUCAGCAGGGAAGAAAUUGACGGUACCUGAGUAAGAAGCUCCGGCUAAAUACGUGCC
rnacentral:rRNA from 1 species